rnacentral:rRNA from 1 species
AUUGAACGCCGGCGGCAGGCCUAACACAUGCAAGUCGGGCGGUAGCACAGGAGAGCUUGCUCUCCGGGUGACGAGCGGCGGACGGGUGAGUAAUGUCUGGGAAACUGCCUGAUGGAGGGGGAUAACUACUGGAAACGGUAGCUAAUACCGCAUAACGUCGCAAGACCAAAGAGGGGGACCUUCGGGCCUCUUGCCAUCGGAUGUGCCCAGAUGGGAUUAGCUAGUAGGUGAGGUAAAGGCUCACCUAGGCGACGAUCCCUAGCUGGUCUGAGAGGAUGACCAGCCACACUGGAACUGAGACACGGUCCAGACUCCUACGGGAGGCAGCGGUGGGGAAUAUUGCACAAUGGGCGCAAGCCUGAUGCAGCCAUGCCGCGUGUAUGAAGAAGGCCUUCGGGUUGUAAAGUACUUUCAGCGGGGAGGAAGGUGUUGUGGUUAAUAACCACAGCAAUUGACGUUACCCGCAGAAGAAGCACCGGCUAACUCCGUGCCAGCCGCCGCAGUAA